rnacentral:pre_miRNA from 1 species
UUAAUGAAUUUGAAGACCUCAACUUGCAGACUUGGAGGACUUUGAAGAUGCAGCAGACUUGACGAUUUCAACUUGCAUACUUGAAGAAAUUGAAGACUUCAACU